ACACACACACACACACACACACACACACGCGCGCACAGUGGUUCUCGCCCCAGGAUAGAAGCUGCCCAGAAACUGCUUCCUGGCUUUUUUCUUCUUCCGAGCUUGUCUUAUCUCCAACCCCUUCCAGUCGAGGAACUGGCAUCAGCAGCGAGAGUUGGAAGCCUUCCCACAGCUUGCCCCAGAGCAAAGAGGCUGUAGUCACGUCCAUGCCCCCACUGGAUCCCCUUUGCAGGGAGAGGCUCGGGCCAGGAUGAACCAGCACGGACAACAGGCAGAGGGUCCACUGUGACCUCCAACCUCAAGCAACCAGCUGAGGAGGAUUUUCACUUCUGAUCUACCAGUGUCUAGCCAACUCUCCACGAACGCCUUUGUGAACUGAAGAAAGACUGGCAGCUGGCCUGUAGACCCAGCCUGACCACCGGUGAGCAUUUCUUAAGCUCAGCUCUUGAUACGGGAACGAUUGUCUUCACUCCAGCCAGCAUCAUUGUCUUCAGUGCUUCCCAGACCCGGGGUCUGUUGGGAGGGAAGAGAACUGGGCCUAACCUAACCUGAACUCACUGACCCUCAGAGGUGGACCUGGGACAUCCUCGAGGCCCUAGCAUUUCUCCUUGGAUAGGGGACCAGAAGGGGCUUGGAAUGUGGCAUAAGAACAAGGAGAAGUCACCCAAGGGAUGUCAAUUUUUCUCCCUCUGCAUGGGUUUGAUUUUCAAAGUCACAAUUUGCAGAACGUCAGCAUUUGUAGUGAAAUAUAUAAUUAUAUAUACUAAUAUAAUGUGGCCACACUGAUGUGGGGUCCCACCACCUCACAACCCUGGCCCUUUGUCACAGAUUAGAACCUAGGUUAGAGGAUCUCAGAAGACAUGCGGGGGAGUUUUUUGGCACAGUUGUUAAUUUCCCCGGGACUUUGAAUUCAUUUCGGUCUGAACACAAAGCCUUUCCUAGUCCUGGCCAGACACACUGGGGGUGGGAGGGGGGGAGAUGCUGUAAUGAAACCGGUUAGUCAAUGUUGUCUUUAAGAUUGUUGACAAUUCUGUAAAGUUCCUUUUUAUGAAUAUUUCUGUUUAAGCUAUUUCACCUUUGUUUUGAAAUCCUUCCCUUUUAAGGAGAAAAUGUGACACUUGUGAAAAAGCUUGUAAGAAAGCCCCUCCUCCCCUUUCUUUCCUUUAAACCUCCUUUAAGUGACAAAUCUUCUAGGUAAUUAAGGUUGUGAAUUUUUAUUUUUGCUUUGUUUUUAAUGAACACUUGUCUUUCAGAAUAGGAUUGUGUGAUAAUGUUUAAAUGGCAAAAAAAAAAACCAUGAUUUUGUGCAAUUAACAAAGCUACUGCAAGAAAAAUAAAACAUUUCUUGGUAACACA